GCCGGGUGAGGUAGUGUGUGCCUGUAGUCCUAGCUACUCAGGAGGCUAAGGCUGGAGGAUUGCUUGAGCACAGGAGUUCCGGGCUCCAUGUAUUAUACCAAUCAGGUGUCUGCAGUAAGUUUGGUCUCAGUAUGGUAACCCCACUGGGAAUGGGACCAUCGGGUUGCCUAAGAAGGGGUGAACCAGUCCAGGUCAGAACUGGAGCAGGUCAAAAUUUCCAUGCUAAUCAAAUUGUUCUAUAGAAUGGCUGCAUCAAUUCAAAUCUCCACCAACAGUGCAUUGGUAUUCCAAUUUUCU
ensembl:misc_RNA Metazoa_SRP Metazoan signal recognition particle RNA